GCAGGAUCCAGGGGACUCAGGCCGAUGUUGAACAAAAACUGCUCCUUCAGAAGGUUGGGAAGGAAAGGAGCCGAAUAACCAAGAAGCCUCCGGGCGGCCUGAAGGUCAUCCUCCCCCAGGCUAGGAGCCCGACGGACAGAAUCCCUUAGGGAGCCCCAAGGGGGCAAUCCCAGCCUCAAGGUCGGGCAAUGGACGAAGAGGUACUUCUCCUUCCAGUUAUGGAUUGAAGAGGGAGCACCUUUCAGCAACCCCUUCUUGCCAAACUGG
rnacentral:lncRNA from 1 species